CCUCAUCUGCAUCCUCGCGACUAAUGACAACCCUAAUCCCUUAUGGGACAAAGCCUCUCAUUAGCCGCGCGAACCUCUGCAACUGAAGAUCACACCCAGCAACAAUACAAUAGUUUGGCUUGAAAUGCUGCCGCUCGCCUAAAAAAAGGGGCCAUAAAGGCCCCUUUUU
rnacentral:sRNA from 1 species